AUUGAACGCUGGCGGCAUGCCUUACACAUGCAAGUCGAACGGUAACGCGGGGCAACCUGGCGACGAGUGGCGAACGGGUGAGUAAUAUAUCGGAACGUGCCCAAUAGUGGGGGAUAGCCCGGCGAAAGCCGGAUUAAUACCGCAUGAGACCUGAGGGUGAAAGCGGGGGAUCGCAAGACCUCGCGCUAUUGGAGCGGCCGAUAUCAGAUUAGGUAGUUGGUGGGGUAAAAGCCUACCAAGCCGACGAUCUGUAGCUGGUCUGAGAGGACGACCAGCCACACUGGGACUGAGACACGGCCCAGACUCCUACGGGAGGCAGCAGUGGGGAAUUUUGGACAAUGGGCGCAAGCCUGAUCCAGCCAUGCCGCGUGCGGGAAGAAGGCCUUCGGGUUGUAAACCGCUUUUGUCAGGGAAGAAAUCCUUUGAGUUAAUACCUCGGGGGGAUGACGGUACCUGAAGAAUAAGCACCGGCUAACUACGUG
rnacentral:rRNA from 1 species